GCAUAUCAUAUUGAAAUACCGACUCCUGUGCGAUCACCAAAGUUAAGCAACAUCGAACCAAAUCAGUACCUAGAUGGGUGACCGUUGGGGAAUGCCAGGUGCUGUAAG